GAACCUCUGGUGUUCGGGUUGUGUCGCCAGACGCAUUGCCCGGUAGCUAAGUUCGGAAUCGAUAACCGCUGAAAGCAUCUAAGCGGGAAGCGAGCCCUAAGAUGAGUCUUCCCUGACCCCUUGAGGGUCCUAAAGGGUUGUUCGAGACUAGAACGUUGAUAGGCAGGGUGUGUAAGCGUUGUGAGGCGUUGAGCUAACCUGUACUAAUUGCCCGUGAGGCUUAACCAUACAACACCCAAAGGGUUUUG
rnacentral:rRNA from 1 species